ACCACAUGAAGAUCCAGCAAGAAAGUGACCAUCUGCAAACUAAAGAGGCCUCAGAAUACAUCAAAACAGAUGACACCUUGAUCUUGGAAUUCCAGCAUCCAGAAUUAUAAGAACACAGGUCAAGAAAGUAUAAAGAAGUCAUUCAGGUCCUACAGCUAUCUAUGUGAAGAACUAGAAUUAAAAUGAUCGACUUCUGUGACCAGUAGGAUAUUAUGGAAAUGACAUUGCUCUGAAGAUAUUUUUAAUCGACUGUGAUUGAUUAACUUCUAUGAAGGCUAGAGCCACCUGGGUUGCACCUGUUGCUUCUGUUGGGAAAGGUAUAAAUUACCUCUACUAUUUUAUUUGGAUAUAAAGGCAAUAUUUUAAAUAGGUUUUCUUUAAAACAAAGUAUUUUAAAGAUGAAACAAAUACAGUUGUCUAUAUGGGGGAUAACAUUUUAACAAGUAUCUAAGCACAACAGGAUCAAAAAGAACUGUUGGAGUUGGCCGUCUUUAGAGAAUUUACUGAGAAAGGAAUGCCUUUUAUUCCUACUUGCUUGUAUUUUUAAUUGAAAAUAAUUUCAAACUUACAGAUAAGUUGAAAAAUAAAACAUGAACACCUGUGUACCUUUUAUCUAAAUUCACCCAUUAAGAUUUUGUCUCUUUUGCUUUAUUAUGUAUGCUUCUCUGUGCUCUCUCAAUGCUUGCAUCUGUAAGUACUGUGUAUAUAUAUACAUGUACUUGUGUAUGUAUUACUUUGGGAAAAGUCCAGCCAUUAUUAAUAUAAUGUGAAUGGUUUGCACAACAUUGAUGUAACCUGGCAGGCAAGGAUAGUGGAUUGGAAUGCGCGUGCAUGAACAAUGAUGACUUCCCUGUACUACUCAGUGGGAGCAGU